rnacentral:tRNA from 2 species
GGGGGGAUGGUGUAGCUGGAAACACGUCGCCUUGGCAUGGCGAAGACCAAGGGUUCAAAUCCCUUUCCCUCCA